rnacentral:rRNA from 1 species
CCUACGGGUGGCAGCAGUGGGGAAUAUUGGGCAAUGGGCGCAAGCCUGACCCAGCAACGCCGCGUGAAGGAAGAAGGCUUUCGGGGUGUAAACUUCUUUUGUCAGGGACGAAGAAAGUGACGGUACCUGACGAAUAAGCCACGGCUAACUACGUGCCAGCAGCCGCGGGAAUACGUAGGUGGCAAGCGUUAUCCGGAUUGAUUGGGUGUAAAGGGCGUGUAGGCGGGAAUGCAAGUCAGAUGUGAAAACUAUGGGCUCAACCCAUAGCCUGCAUUUGGAACUGUAUUUCUUGAGUGCUGGAGAGGCAAUCGGAAUUCCGUGUGUCGCGGUGAAAUGCGUAGAUAUACGGAGGAACACCAGUGGCGAAGGCGGAUUGCUGGACAGUAACUGACGCUGAGGCGCGAAAGCGUGGGGAGCAAACAGGAUUAGAUACCCUUGUAGUC